CGGCGAGUGAAGCGGGAAUAGCUCAAAUUUGAAAUCUCAUACCUCUGGUGUGCGAAUUGUAGUUUAAAGAAGUGUUUUCGGAGGUGUACCAAGCUCAAGUCCUUUGGGAUAAGGCAUCACGGAAGGUGAGAAUCCUGUAUGUGGUUUGGCUACACUUUUAUGUGAUACAUUUUCAAAGAGUCGGGUUGUUUGGGAAUGCAGCCCAAAAUGGGUGGUAAAUACCAUCUAAAGCUAAAUAUUGGCGAGAGACCGAUAGCGAACAAGUACCGUGAGGGAAAGAUGAAAAGAACUUUGAAAAGAGAGUUAAAAGUACGUGAAAUUGUCAAAAGGGAAACACUUGAAACCAGUGUUGUUGCUAGAAUCCCAACUAGUCUCACGAUUAGUAUAUGUUUCUAGUGACAGGUCAACAUCGGUUUUGACUGGAGUACAAAGCCUUGGGAAGGUGGCCCUCCUCGGAGGGUGUUAUAGCUCAAGGUAAUGCUCUGGUUGAGACCGAGGAAUGCAGUAAAGUCUUGGGGACCCGGGUGCUAGGUGAUGCCUUUCUAUAGACAACUUGUUGAUUAUGGAGAGUAUAAGCCUACUCGCUCGGUUUACCACACCUU
rnacentral:rRNA from 1 species